rnacentral:rRNA from 1 species
UACUGCGCGUGCUUACACAUGCAAGUCGAACGGGUUUCUGCGGGCUUUGCUUGCGGGUGAGAGUGGCGAACGGGUGAGUAAUGCGUGACCAACCUGCCCCAUGCUCCGGAAUAGCUCCUGGAAACGGGUGGUAAUGCCGGAUGUGCCGGGCUCCUGCAUGGGGGUCCGGGAAAGCUCUGGCGGCGUGGGAUGGGGUCGCGUCCUAUCAGCUUGUUGGCGGGGUGAGGGCCCACCAAGGCUUCGACGGGUAGCCGGCCUGAGAGGGCGACCGGCCACAUUGGGACUGAGAUACGGCCCAGACUCCUACGGGAGGCAGCAGUGGGGAAUAUUGCACAAUGGGCGCAAGCCUGAUGCAGCGACGCCGCGUGCGGGAUGGAGGCCUUCGGGUUGUAAACCGCUUUUGUUUGGGAGCAAGCCCUUCGGGGUGAGUGUACCUUUCGAAUAAGCACCGGCUAACUACGUGCCAGCAGCCGCGGUAAUACGUAGGGUGCGAGCGUUAUCCGGAUUUAUUGGGCGUAAAGGGCUCGUAGGCGGUUCGUCGCGUCCGGUGUGAAAGUCCAUCGCCUAACGGUGGAUCUGCGCCGGGUACGGGCGGGCUGGAGUGCGGUAGGGGAGACUGGAAUUCCCGGUGUAACGGUGGAAUGUGUAGAUAUCGGGAAGAACACCAAUGGCGAAGGCAGGUCUCUGGGCCGUUACUGACGCUGAGGAGCGAAAGCGUGGGGAGCGAACAGGAUUAGAUACCCUGGUAGUCCACGCCGUAAACGGUGGAUGCUGGAUGUGGGGCCCUUCCACGGGUCCCGUGUCGGAGCCAACGCGUUAAGCAUCCCGCCUGGGGAGUACGGCCGCAAGGCUAAAACUCAAAGAAAUUGACGGGGGCCCGCACAAGCGGCGGAGCAUGCGGAUUAAUUCGAUGCA